UACAGAGGGGGCAAGCGUUGUUCGGAAUUACUGGGCGUAAAGGGCGCGUAGGCGGCCUGCUAAGUCGAACGUGAAAUCCCUGGGCUCAACCCAGGAACUGCGUCCGAUACUGGUUGGCUUGAAUCCGGGAGAGGGACGUGGAAUUCCAGGUGUAGCGGUGAAAUGCGUAGAUAUCUGGAGGAACACCGGUGGCGAAGGCGGCUCACUGGCCCGGUACUGACGCUGAGGUGCGAAAGCGUGGGGAGCAAACAGG
rnacentral:rRNA from 1 species